GUGGAAUGAAGGGCGCACUUGUUGAGUUUGGGAACUUUCAGAAGCUUGAACUUCUCACUUUGGACGCAGCGGAGCUCUCUUUAUCAUCACGCAAUAUGGAUGUAUGCUUACUUUCUACUAAUACGACUAUGUUGCUCUUGUCAAAAUGCUUGUCGAAGUUUAUAUGGAGUGUCUUUAGUGUUUUACGGGUUAGACACACCGUUAUAGCGUGCACGGGUCAGAAAUAACAGCGUGCCUGUAAUGGAUUAUAACGCGCCGCUUGAUCGCUUCACAUCUGAAGGUAAAUCUGAAUGAGAGUUACAGUGUGAUGGAUUGUGUGAAGGAGAGAUGUAUGCUUUACUGGAGGACGUUUCAUGCCACUAUGGGACUAUUUAUGGACUAUCAUUGGACUUUAUAUGAAUGGAGAAGAUCGCUGCUUUGCCAAGAUGCAUCAUCAGCCCAAAUAUGAUGGGACGCUCCGUCAUGCUGUCAUCUGUUCAGAUGGAGUGACAUUUGUCUGAAAUCACACAUGAAAAUCACCUAAGUUUUGUGCCGGUCAUUCGUGUUGGUGUGGACGAGCCUCAAAAGCCCAAAGUAACUUCAGUCCACAAGUUUCAGAACAGAGGUCAAGGUAGCGAAAUGCAACACGGGUUUCAUCCAUCACGUGAAGCAGCGUGGAAGACGGUCUCAUCGCUCAUCAUCCACCUGUCCUGCUGCAUCAAACACAUAACACGUCUAUGUUACCAGUAUUUGUGGAACAAACACCUCUGCCAUGCUAACACCCCUGGUGUUCAUUAUCCCACGGAGAUCUUUUUCAUUCAAUGCAACACUUUGGAGACUGUCAAAGCGCUCAGCUCGUGAGAGAUUUACUCGUCUGGAGAGCGUACGGCUGUCCUCGGCCUCCCAGCUAUUGUCAGCAGCGGUUUGGAAGCGCUUGAACAUCUGUAUGUGCCUCCAGUUGUUUGUAAUAGUGAUGGUGUAAGGAGAGACACCCUUUUCUCUUUCUGACCCCCCUUCCUUCUCAAAUCCCACAUCAGUCCAUCUGGUUUAUGUUUGUUUGGCUAAGUCUGGACCGUAGCUGCUUUUCAAACUCUUGCUGCUGGCUGUUUUGGGGGCCAGAUGGCUUUAUCGCUGUGCUCAAAGUGUCCUUCACGGGUCGUCUGUGAUGAGGAAGCCCUUCCCUAUACGUUGAUCCUCGGAGAUUAGUGACUAGUGGUGAAGCAUUGGUCAUUUAUGCUCUACAACCGUCUUAAAGAAAGAUACAGCGACAGCCAGCCCGAACUCAGCCGUGGAGGGCUUGUUUGGGGCCAAAUCUACUAACGUCAGGCCUCUAUUCUUUUACAUCUACACUGACUUUAUAAAUACGUGAGUCAGAUGUUGGCGAGAACACUUCAGAAACGGCCUCCUGUAUCAGACGUUGAAAUAAACAACAAAGCAGUGAUGGCUUUAUAGCACCGUGUAAAUGUAUAUUUGUAUCUUCUUGUAAGGUUUUAUGGUGAACUGUCAUUGCAAACAGGGCUGAAAUGUUUGUAGGUUGCUUUGUAAUAUACAAAACCAUCAUUUGUGGCUUUGCAUCUGAUUAAAUUUAUUUUUACUAACCGUAAUGUUUGAGAUUCUUGGUUGAUGAAGCAAUAAAUCAAAUCGCUUCCAUCA